rnacentral:miRNA from 1 species
UGGGCUGGAGCCUGCACAGUGG